rnacentral:tRNA from 2 species
ACACUUUUAGUUUAAAGGUUAAAACUAUAGUCUUCGAAACUAUGGAUAUGGGUUCAAUUCCUAUAAAGUGUU